GGGCCGUUAGCUCAAUUGGUAGAGCAACUGACUCUUAAUCAGUAGGUCGAAGGUUCGAUCCCUUCACGGCCCACCA
rnacentral:tRNA from 2 species